GGGAUAACAGUUAGAAAUGACUGCUAAUACCGCAUAAGACCACAGCACCGCAUGGUGCAGAGGUAAAAACUCCGGUGGUAUGAGAUGGACCCGCGUCUGAUUAGCUGGUUGGUGGGGUAACGGCCUACCAAGGCGACGAUCAGUAGCCGGCCUGAGAGGGCGACCGGCCACAUUGGGACUGAGACACGGCCCAAACUCCUACGGGAGGCAGCAGUGGGGAAUAUUGCACAAUGGGGGAAACCCUGAUGCAGCGACGCCGCGUGAAGGAAGAAGUAUUUCGGUAUGUAAACUUCUAUCAGCAGGGAAGAAAAUGACGGUACCUGACUAAGAAGCCCGGGCUAACUACGUGCCAGCAGCCGCGGUAAUACGUAGGGGGCAAGCGUUAUCCGGAUUUACUGGGUGUAAAGGGAGCGUAGACGGAGAGGCAAGUCUGAUGUGAAAACCCGGGGCUCAACCCCGGGACUGCAUUGGAAACUGUCUUUCUAGAGUGUCGGAGAGGUAAGCGGAAUUCCUAGUGUAGCGGUGAAAUGCGUAGAUAUUAGGAGGAACACCAGUGGCGAAGGCGGCUUACUGGACGAUGACUGACGUUGAGGCUCGAAAGCGUGGGGAGCAAACAGGAUUAGAUACCCUGGUAGUCCACGCCGUAAACGAUGACUACUAGGUGUCGGGUGGCAAAGCCAUUCGGUGCCGCAG
rnacentral:rRNA from 1 species